rnacentral:rRNA from 1 species
GAUGAACGCUGGCGGCGUGCUUAACACAUGCAAGUCGAACGGAAAGGCCCAAGCUUGCUUGGGUACUCGAGUGGCGAACGGGUGAGUAACACGUGGGCGAUCUGCUCUGCACUUCGGGAUAAGCUUGGGAAACUGGGUUUAAUACCGGAUAGGACCACUUCUUGGAUGUUGUGGUGGAAAGUUUUUUCGGUGUUGGAUGAGCUCGCGGCCUAUCAGCUUGUUGGUGGGGUAAUGGCCUACCAAGACGUCGACGGGUAGCCGGCCUGAGAGGGUGUACGGCCGCAUUGGGACUGAGAGACGGCACAGACGCCGACUGGAGGCAGCAGUGGGGAAGAUUGCACAAGGGGCGCAAGCCGGAUGCAGCGACGCCGCGGGGGGGAUGACGGCCUUCGGGUUGUAAACACCUUGCGCUAGAGACGAAGCGUGUUGUGACGGUACCUGGAGAAGAAGCACCGGCUAACUACGUG